UUUGUUUUUGAAUAACAUGUACAUAAUAUGCCAAAAAUUCCAAACCGGUGAUGGAAUAGCUCACAUAAUUUUGCAACCAAACCAGAAAUAGAUAGAUAUCGGUUUGGUAGAGUGCUUUUGGAUUUUAGUGGUUUAACAUUAAACCGUCAAUAAAAAUCCCUAACCAAGCGUGCGGGCAUGCAUAAAGACGGUUUUACCCUUUAAUUCCUCCACCCUCGAUGAAUACUCUCUCUCUCUCUCUCGCAUCAAUCGAAAGCAGAGUUUAUAUCAUUCCUCCAUCAAUCUCUCGGGUCUCGGCGACGGUAACGACAAAUCUCCUUGCGGCUAAAAGAAAGAAGAAGAAGAAAGAAGAAGGUUAUGACGACAAUCAGUCUUCGGAAGGCAAACACAAAACUCCCACCAGAGCGAGGAGAUGUACGAUAUCUUCGGCAAGUACGGCGCCAUCCGCCAGAUUCGAAUCGGCUGCGACAAGGCGACGAAAGGCACGGCGUUCGUCGUUUACGAGGAUAUAUACGACGCCAAGAACGCCGUCGACCAUCUCUCCGGCUUCAACGUGGCGAAUAGGUACCUAAUCGUGCUGUAUUACCAGCACGCGAAGAUGAGCAAGAAGUUUGACCAGAAGAAGACUGAAGAGGAGAUCACCAAGCUGCAGGAGAAGUAUGGAGUCUCUACUAAAGUAUAAGUAAAUUAAUUGUCUUCUUCGAUUCCUUUUUGGUCGUCCUGUGAAGUCUUCUUCUUGGACUUUUGGGGUUUUUUGAAUUUAGUUGCUCGUUUGUUCUGUAUAUUGACAAAGCAGUGAAUGAGAUACCUUUUUUUUUUUUUUUU